UGGCUCUUGCACCUGUAUCAGGGUCAAUGGCAGGGUCAGCGGCAAAUAGCAGAGGGGCCUGAAAACAGAUGGGAACUCUAGAAAAGGCAGUGGGGAGCUGUCGAGAGCAUUUUGAGGGGGGCAGUGAUACUGUUGGCUCUGCAUUUCGGAAAGGUGGUUUUCAGGGCAGUUUGGAUGAUGCUGGGGAGAGGCUGACAGGUUCAAGGUCAUUCCUGAGGAGCAGAUGCAUAAUCCACUUAUGAAACGGACGGGGGAUGCCUGGAGUUAGCACAUAUUAAGUGCUUGCUGUAGUCAAGCCCUAUUGGGCACCAGGGAGGUCUGGACUCUGACAGCGGAGCUAAGGGGUGGUCCUGCCUGCACCAGAUUUCAGUGGCUUCUCAGGCUUCUCUGCAGCAUGGGUGUCCUGCCUUGGCCAGAGCCGAAAUCCCAGAGCAGUGAAAAAGGACCCAGUGUCACGGGGCUUCUGGUUUCAGGACACACUGGAAAGUGUUCUCUGUGAACAUGGUAGCUGUCACAGGCUGGUCUGUGCUGGAGUUAUCCUGGCACCCAGCCUACAAACAGAGGAAAUGUGCAGUCCAUCCAUGGAAUUUGGAUUUUUCCUGAAGAGCACUCCCCCAGUA